GGGAGACAACAGAGUGGGCCUCCCCUAUCACAGCCAGGAAACCUGGUUCUAUGGGAAAGAGGCUAGACCUAUCCUAUCUAGCUCAGUAGGUAGGUGGAGUGCAGGCACAGCCUGUUCCAGCCAAAUCCCAUUGACUAAAAGCCCUAAUGUCCCCAAAAGCACGUGAGAGAGGGACUGUCCUCCCUGGCACCAGAGAGGCCCAGGUUGCACAGUGAGUGCACAGAUCCACGCACAGGCCUGCCGGCAUUGUCCUAAGGCUCCUCCUGAGUAUGACUCUGCAUCCACAUGCAGCCUCAGAGCCUGGCAUGCAGUAGAUGCUUAUAAAUGUUAGCAGAAUGAAUGCCUAAGGACAACUUUAUAGGUUUUCCUAAGCUGUCUUUCCCUUGGACCCCUGCCUUUCCUUUGCCAGCUUCUCCCCACCCUCUGGAAACACUGGGUGCCAGAGUCCCAGGUCCACUGCUCUCUCCAGCCCUGUGACCUCAGCUUCCCAUCCUGGGAGCACGCGGUCCAUGUCCGUGCUGGCAUACUGAAAGAGGCGGUUGGCGCUGUUGAAGAUGAUGAGGGCGAUCUCACAGUCACAGAGCACGCUCAGCUCAUAGGCCUUCUUCAUCAGCCCGAACUUGCGCUUGGUAAAUGUCACCUGGACCCAGGAACCACAGGUGGGGUGGGGAAAGACAAGGACUUGGGGUGGUGUGGAGGAGUUGGAGAGGCCUAAUUGUUCCCUGAGCAUGCCUCAUGAUGCUGUGCCUUUGUGGGUUCUGUUCUUUCUGGCUGUACUGCAUCUUCCUCCUCACUGCUCAGCCUGGCAAGCUCCUAUUGGUGCUUCAAAACCCAGCCCAAAUAUCUCCUCCUUUGCUAAGUUUUUCUUGGCCUCCCAGGCAGAGCCCACACUCCCUCUCUGAGCUUCCCCAGUUCUGCACCUCCCUCUGGCCCAGUUGCCUGAGGUGGGUGUGUUAGUAUCAAGCUCCAUCUGCCCUCUGACUGGAGCACUAGUCCAGGGAGAAGAAAUGAAUAAAUCAUCAUGAAAUGA